AGAUGCUGUGGAGACAGGCAGGGGGCAAAGGUGUGAAUCUGUGAAGUGCAGCACUUCAGCUGGGAGAACCAGCAGCUAAGCUGGGACAGAACUAGGAUAGACAUUUACGUGGCAGGCACAUUUCACAGCAACACUCGCAUAACAGGACAGUAAUCUUAGCACGUUAGGACUUCCACUGCCUUCCACUGAGGCAGGCAUGUCUCAUUCCAGGUGAUUCAUCCUGUCAAGUUACUUCAUGUGCCAAUGAGUUUCUCCCCAUCUCUAAGUUGGAGAGUAUCACAUGCCAGCGAGUUGGAAGGUUGAUCAUUGAAAAUGAGGAAAUCCCUCACUGGAGCCUGAUAGUGGAGAUUCUUUUGUCCUUGGGAUGGAUGCUGCCACCUGCCAUGGAGGCAGUGACCACAGCAGCCUGUCCCUUCCACUGAGGCAGGUUUUACUGUCUUUGCUUACAGUGUGAAAACUAUAGAGAACUAUUGAACACUCUCCAAAUAUAUAUUGUCAACUACAUGGAGGCGUUGCUAUAAGAGAAGCUCAUGAAAACAGAGGAGCUCAGGUGAAUCAUCCUGUCAAGUUACUUGAUGUGCCAAUGAGUUUUUUUUUCCCGGUCUCUAAGUUGGAGAGUAUCAGAUGCCAGCGAGUUGUGAGGUUGAUCAUUAAAAAUGAAGAAAUCCCUCACUGGAGCCUGAUAGUGGAGAUGCUUUUGUCCUUGGGAUGGAUGCUGCCACCUGCCAUGUAGGCAGUGACCACAGCAGCCUGUCCCUUCCACUGAGUCUGGCCUUACUGUCUAUUCUUAGAGAGCGAAGACUAUAAAAAAAAAUUGAACACUCUGAAAAUUGAUAUUUUAAAUUACACGGAGGCGUUGCUGAAAGAGGACUUCAGGUGAGCAGAUGCUGUGCAGACAGGUGGGGGGCAAAGGUGUGAAUCUCUGAAGUGCAGAACUUCAGGUGGGAGAACCAGCAGCUAAACUGGGCCAGGACCAGGACAGACAUUUACAUGGCAGGCACAUUUCACAGCAACACUCAUAAAACAGGACAGUAAUCUUAGCACGUUAUGACUUCCACUGCCUUCCACUGAGGCAGGCAUGUCUCAUUCCAGGUGAAUCAUUCUGUCAAGUUACUUGAUGUGCCAAUGAGUUUCUUUCUCCCCAUCUCUAAGUUGGAGAGUAUCACAUGCCAGCGAGUUGGAAGGCUGAUCAUUGAAAAUAAGGAAAUCCCUCACUGGAACCUGAUAGUGUAGAUGCUUUCGUCCUUGAGAUGGAUGCUGCCACCUGCCAUGUAGGCAGUGACCACAACAGCCUGUGCAGCCUUCCACUGAGGCUGGCAUGACUUUCUAUUCUCAGACUCUGAUGAAUACCAACUAAACAUCAAGUCUUUGGAGAGAGACAUCUAUGAAAUCGGAGAGCAGACCAUUUAUGAGGAGUUCAAAAUAAUUGAGCUCAGGUGAGCAGAUGCUGUGGAGACAGGCGGGGGGCAAAUGUGUGAAUCUAUGAAGUGCAGCACUUCAGCUGGGAGAACCAGCAGCUAAGCUGGGACAGGACUAGGACAGACAUUUACGUGGCAGGCACGUUUCACAGUAACACUCACAUAACAGGACAGUAAUCUUAGCACGUUAUGACUUCCACUGCCUUCCACUGAGGCAGGCAUGUCUCAUUCCAGGUGAAUCAUCCUGUCAAGUUACUUGAUGUGCCAAUGAGUUUGUUUUUCCCCAUCUCUAAGUUGGAGAGUAUCACAUGCCAGCGAGUUGGGAGGUUGAUCAUUGAAAAUGAGGAAAUCCCUCACUGGAGUCUGAUAGUGGAGAUGCUUUUGUCCUUGGGAUGGAUGCUGCCACCUGCCAUGUAGCCAGUGACCACAGCAGCCUGUUUCUUCCACAGAGGCAGGUUUUACUGUCUUUUCUUAGAGUGUGAAAACUAUAGAGAACGAUUGAACACUCUCCAAAUAGAUAUUGUCAACUACACGGAAGCGUUGCUAUAAGAGGAGCUCAUGAAAAAAGAGGAGCUCAGGUGAAUCAUCCUGUCAAGUUACUUGAUGUGCCAAUGAGUUUCUUUUUCCCAAUCUCGAAGUUGGAGAGUAUCAGAUGCCAGCGAGUUGUGAGGUUGAUCAUUAAAAAUGAGGAAAUCGCUCACUGGAGCCUGAUAGUGGAGAUGCUUUUGUCCCUGGGAUGGAUGCUGCCAUGUAGGCAGUGACCACAGCAGCCUGUCCAGCUUCCACUGAGGCAGGCAUGACUUUCUUUACUCAGACUCUGAUGAAUACCAACUAAAUGUCAAGUCUCUGGAGAGAGACAUCUAUGAAAUCGAAAAGCAGACCAUUUAUGAGGAGUUCAAAAUAAUUGAGGAGCUCAGGUGAGCAGAUGCCGUGGAGACAGGCGGGGGGAAAAGGUGUGAAUCUAUGAAGUGCAGCACUUCAGCUGGGAGAACCAGCAGCUAAGCUGGGCCAGGACCAGGACAGACAUCUACGUGGCAGGCACAUUUCACAGCAACACUCAUAGAACAGGACAGUAAUCUUAGCAUGUUACAAUUUCCACUGCCUUCCACUGAGGCAGGCAUGUCUCAUUCCAAGUGAAUCAUCCUGUCAAGUUACUUGAUGUGCCAAUGUGUUUCUUUUUCCCCAUCUCUACAUCGGAGAGUAUCAGAUGCCAGCGAGGAGGUUCAUCAUUGAAAAUAAGGAAAUCCCUCACUGGAGCAUGAUAGUGGAGAUGCUUUCGUCCUUGGGAUGAAUGCUGCCACCUGCCAUGUAGGCAGUGACCACAACAGCCUGUGCAGCCUUCCACUGAGGCAGGCAUGACUUUCUUUUCUCAGACUCUGAUGAAUACCAACUAAACACCAAGUCUUUGGAGAGAGACAUCUAUGAAAUCGGAGAGCAGACCAUUUAUGAGGAGUUCAAAAUAAUUGAGGAGCUCAGGUGAGCAGACACUGUGGGGACAGGGGUGGUGCAGAGGUGUGAAUCUCUGAAGUCCAGCAUUCAGCUGGGAGAACCAACAGGUAAGCUGAACCAGGACCAGGACAGACAUGUACGUGGCAGGCACGUUUCACAGCAACACUCAUAAAACAGGACAGGAAUCUUAGCACGUUACGACUUCCACUGCCUUCCACUGAGGCAGGCAUGUCUCAUUCCAGGUGAAUCAUCCUGUCAAGUUACUUGAUGUGCCAAUGAGUUUCUUAUUCCUUAUCUCUAAUUUGGAGAGUAUCACAUGCCCGCAAGUUUGGAGGUUGAUCAUUGAAAAUGAGGAAAUCCCUCACUGGAGCCUGAUAGUGGAGAUGCUUUUGUCCUUGGGAUGGAUGCUGCCACCUGCCACGUAGGCAGUGACCACAGCAGCCUGUCUCUUCCACUGAGUCUGGCCUUACUGUCUAUUCUUAGAGUGUGAAGACUAUAAAAAAAGGUUGAACACUCUGAAAAUUGAUAUUUUAAAUUACACGGAUGCGUUUCUGGAAGAGGAGCUCAGGUGAAUCAUCCUGUCAAGUUACUUGAUGUGCCAAUGAGUUUUUUUUCCCCAUCUCUUAAGUUGGAGAGUAUCACAUGCCAGCGAGUUGGAAGGUUGAUUAUUGAAAAUGAGGAAAUCCCUCACUGGAGCCUGGUAGUGGAGAUGGUUUUUUGUUUGGGAUGGAUGCUGCCACCUGCCAUGUAGCCAGUGACCACAGCAGCCUGUCCCUUCCACUGAGGCUGGCCUUACUGUCUUUUCUUAGAAUGUGAAAACUAUAGAGAACGAUUGAACACUCUCCAAAUAGAUAUUGUCAACUACACGGAGGCGUUGCUAUAAGAGGAGCUCAGGAAAAAAGAGGAGCUCAGGUGAAUCAUCCUGUCAAGUUACCUGAUGUGCCAAUGAGUUUCUUUUUCCCAAUCUCGAAGUUGGAGUAUCAGAUGCCAGCGAGUUGGGAGGUUGAUCGUUAAAAAUGAGGAAAUUGCUCACUGGAGCCUGAUAAUGGAGAUGCUUUUGUCCCUGGGAUGGAUGCUGCCAUGUAGGCAGUGACCACAGCAGCCUGUCCAGCUUCCACUGAGGGAGGCAUGACUUUCUUUACUCAGACUCUGAUGAAUACCAACUAAAUGUCAAGUCUCUGGAGAGAGUCAUCUAAGAAAUCGAAAAGCAGACCAUUUAUGAGGAGUUCAAAAUAAUUGAGCUCAGGUGAGCAGAUGCCAUGGAGACAGUCGGGGGGCAAAAGUGUGAAUCUAUGAAGUGCAGCACUUCAGCUGGGAGAACCAGCAGCUAAGCUGGGCCAGGACCAGGACAGACAUCUACGUGGCAGGCACAUUUCACAGCAACACUCAUAAAACAGGACAGUAAUCUUAGCAUGUUACAAUUUCCACUGCCUUCCACUGAGGCAGGCAUGUCUCAUUCCAGGUGAAUCAUCCUGUCAAGUUACUUGAUGUGCCAAUGAGUUUCUUUUUUCCCAUCUCUAUGUUGGAGAGUAUCAGAUGCCAGCGAGUUGGGAGGUUCAUCAUUGAAAAUAAGGAAAUCCCUCACUGGAGCCUGAUAGUGGAGAUGCUUUCCUUCUUGGGAUGGAUGCUGCCACCUGCCAUGUAGGCAGUGACCACAACAGCCUGUGCAGCCUUCCACUGAGGCUGGCAUGACUUUCUUUUCUCAGACUGAUGAAUACCAACUAAACAUCAAGUCUUUGGAGAGAGACAUGUAUGAAAUCGGAGAGCAGAUCAUUUAUGAGGAGUUCAAAGUAAUUGAGCUCAGGGUGAAGACUAUAAAGAAAGGUUGAACACUCUGAAAAUUGAUAUUUUAAAUUACACGGAGGUGUUGCUGGAAGAGGAGCUCAUGCGAACUGAGGAACUCAGGUGGACAGAUGCUGUGAAGACAGGCGGGGGGCAAAGGUGUGAAUCUCUGAAGUGCAGCCCUUCAGCUGAGAGAACCAGCAGCUAAGCUGUGACAGGACUAGGACAGACAUUUACGUGGCAGGCACAUUUCACAGCAAUACUCACAUAACAGGACAGUAAUCUUAGCACAUUAGGACUUCCACUGCCUUCCACUGAGGCAGGCAUGUCUCAUUCCAGGUGAUUCAUCCUGUCUAGUUACUUGAUGUGCCAAUGAGUUUCUUUCUCCCCAUCUCUAAGUUGGAGAGUAUCACAUGCCAGCGAGUUGGAAGGUUGAUCAUUGAAAAUGAGGAAAUCCCUCACUGGAGCCUGAUAGUGGAGAUGCUUUUGUCCUUGGGAUGGAUGCUGCCACCUGCCAUGGAGGCAGUGACCACAGCAGCCUGUCCCUUCCACUGAGGCAGGUUUUACUGUCUUUGCUUACAGUGUGAAAACUAUAGAGAACUAUUGAACACUCUCCAAAUAGAUAUUGUCAACUACAUGGAGGCGUUGCUAUAAGAGGAGCUCAUGAAAACAGAGGAGCUCAGGUGAAUCAUUCUGUCAAGUUACUUGAUGUGCCAAUGAGUUUCUUUUUCCCCGUCUCUACAUUGGAGAGUAUCACAUGCCAGCGAGUUGGGAUGUUGAUCAUUAAAAAUGAGGAAAUCCCUCACUGGAGCCUGAUAAUGGAGAUGCUUUUGUCCUUGGGAUGGAUGCAGCCACCUGCCAUGUAGGCUGUGACCACAGCAGCCUGUCCCUUCCACUGAGGUAGGUUUUACUGUCUUUUUUUAGAAUGUCAAAACUAUAGACAAAGAUUGAAGACUCUCCAAAUAGAUACUGUCAACUACAAGGAGGCGUUGCUAGAAGAGGAGCUCAUGGGAACAGAGGAGCUCAGGUGAGCAGAUGCUGUGGAGACAGGCGGGGGGCAACGGUGUGAAUCUCUGAAGUGCAGCAGUUCAGCUGAGAGAACCAGCAGCUAAGCUGGGCCUGGACCAGGACAGACAUUUACGUGGCAGGCACAUUCCACAGCAGCAUUCAUAAAACAGAACAGUCAUCUUAGCACGUUACCAGCUGCAGUUGUUUUCUUGAGCUUUGUUUACACUUUUUAUAACAAUGAAAUGUUGAGUCAAAAUUUGCAUAUCCAAAAUUAACUAAAAGAAAGUGAACCACCCAGCAUCAUUUAGUACACUCUAUCCCAUGUACUCUUAGAGUCACCUCCUGGCUGACUGCAGCAACUCAUUUGUUCAUUCAAUAAUGUCUUCUUGACCUGUCAUUCUUUUCUUUUUUUAUUUUUACAAUUCACCCCAUCUGCACCAGGCCAAACUUUUGUGCAUGGCUCUGUUUCCAGUCACUGCUUGAUGCACUAUGGGAGUUUUCACAUAGAAAUGUCCACGGCUAAAGUGAGAAGCUGAAAGGACAUCCUUUUGAAACCGAUUUGGGAAGACUGACUUUCGUUUACAGAAGACAAAAAUGAAUGGAACAUCAUACAGGAUCUCACAGGAGCUCUCUCUGAUACAGAGGAAGCCUCCAUGGUUCAAGCAAUUCUCCUGUCUCCGCCUCCCGAGUAGCUGGGACUACAGGUGUGCACCACCAUGCCUGGCUAAUUUUUGUAUUUUUUGUAGAGACAGGGUUUCACCAUGUUGGCCAGGCUGGGUUUAAACACCUGAUCUCAGGUUCUGCCCGCCUCAGCAUCUCAACGUGCUCAGAUCAUAGGCAUGAGCCACCAUGCCCUGCUUUAAAAAAUAAAUGCAUAUUUAUUUAUUAUAUUGUAUAUACAUAAUAUGGCAGCCGUGCUCUGUUGCAGAGAGAGGAAAAUUGCCUGUUCCCUCUUAAACAGAACCUCCCCAUUUGCUUUCUGGGACCACAACCUAAUGGCUCCUGUGAAAACCAGUUGGAAUUUUCUGUGGUUCAAUCCCUUGUGGUUUAAUCUUUGUUAUCUCAAAAUAUAUAGAUAUAGAUGUAGAUAUGCUAUAGACACAUACACACACACACACACACAUUCCUCUGGACCACAGGCAUUUCCCCAAACAGGUUGUGAUGUUCUGCUUGGGGGGCUCCUUGAGGACAUUCUCACCUAAACCUCCGUUGCAGUAUUAGAACUGAUCACUCAUCCCUUUCCGUUAUUAAACAUUCUCUGCUAUGUCCCCAUAGGGAAUAUAAAGCCCUGACUCAAUCUCAGGCAGAGCAGCUGGCAAAGUUACAAGAAGAAAUAGAUGCCACCAAGUUACGGAAUGAGCGAUUGAAGGCCCACGUCACUCCUGAUGACCCUGGUAAGUCUCAGCGUCAGAACCUCCAAGAGCAGCUGGCUAAGGGGCACAAGCUGACAGAGCAUUAUGUCAGCAGGCUCAGCCCAGGUAAGGUGGGCACAGGCCCUGAUGACACACAGCCCCAGGCUUAUGAAAGUCCCCAGACCACCACACCUCCACAGUGACAAUUUUAUUUCUUUUCACUAAAAAUUUGUAGCCAUGACAUGACCAGGACAUCCUGGGCAGAAAGAGAUGGGAAACCUAUGGGGUUGGAGGUCACAGGAUGGUAAGUGUCUUCUCAUUUCUUGCUGGAACAUGGUCUUUAAGGCAAGAGGCAGCAUCUGUCCAGUUUUAAAGGACAGGAAGGAGGCUGUGACAGGAGGCAGCUUUUCAGAGUCAAAAGAGCCCUGGACUAAGAAUGAGGGUUCCAGGCUCUAUCUUCAGCAGUGUCUUUGGCAACUGUGGGUAACUGAUUAAAUUAUCCUUCCUGAGUUCCUGUCUCUAAAUCUGUAAAGGCAGACAAAUUGUCUCUUGCAUUCAAAUGUGGGAACACUUAAUGAUGAUAUUUCAUGAUGAGAUAAAGCCCCUUGCUGGGUGCUUUGGAGAAGGCACUUGAUGUGGGGGCAUUUGGUGGUAGGAAGCCAUCUCCAUGCACUCCACAUGGAAAGUGUGUUCCUGGAUAAGACAGCAGAAGCCUCUUGGAGGGCCCACGAAGUCCCCGAUGCAUGGAGUAUAGUGGGACAAGUUAGUUUGUCCUGUCAUAAGAGAAAGAUACAGGUGGCCGGGUGCGGUGGCUCAAGCCUGUAAUCCCAGCCCUUUGGGAGGCCGAGGCUGGUGGAUCACGAGGUCAAGAGAUCGAGACCAUCCUGAUCAACAUGGUGAAACCCUGUCUCUACUAAAAAUACAAAAAAUUAGCUGGGCAUGGUGGCGCGGGCCUAUAAUCCCAGCUACUCAGGAGGCUGAUGCAGGAACCCAGGAGGUGGAGGUUGAAUCCAGGAGGUGGAGGUUGCGAUGAGCUGAGAUCACCACAUUGCACCCCAGCCUGGGUAACAAGAGCUAGAGCAAAACUCCUUCUCGGGGAAAACAAGAAAAAAGAAAGAUAGAGGUUUCAAUGUAAGCUCUAACAAAAUACAGAGCCUGUGCCUGGGUAUCAAAAGUGAGGCAGGAUUGGGGAGACAGCUGCUGAAGCUUGGAGAGAGGCUGGGCAAGCCUGUAGUAAUAUAAAGAGCAAGAUGUCUUUUGACUAUUUGGCGGCAUCUUGAUGGUGACCCUCCAGAUUAGAAACAUGUUGCCUCAUGGAUCAGGAAAACCUGUCAGGUUAAAAAUAAAACAUGACAGUGUUCAGUACAAUGCAGACCCAUAGAUGCAUGUUCUUGUCUUGGUACACAUAGGGCUGACUGUGAUUUCAUUGGGUAAAGUGGGAAAUAUCUGAGUAGAUGCUUCUGUAAUUCCAGGAAAUGAUAAACAUCAUCAAGAUCAAACAGAUGAGGAGGGCGAGAAAGCAGAAAUCAGCAGCCCCAAGGUAACACUGAAUAAUCAGGAGCGGGUAAUGGGUGGUGAAAUCUGGAAAAGGUCUCAGAAAGAAUGUAAGUUAGGCAAAAGGUCAGGUGAACAGACUAAACUCAGGGAUUUCCGAUCUCACCUGUUGUCUGCCUCUUUGGCAUUUCCAUGUUUGCAAGUAUUUGCCAGCAGGAAAGUGAAUGAAAACAACUCAUAUCAUGCUCACAGUUUUGAGAACAAGCGAGGUUGAGGAUACAGGAACUCUUUCUGUGAAGAUGCAAGAAGCUGCAUUCAUUUGGCCUCUGAUGCUAAUUUCAACAAA